GAUGAACGCUGGCGGCGUGCCUAAUACAUGCAAGUCGAGCGAACAGACGAGGAGCUUGCUCCUCUGACGUUAGCGGCGGACGGGUGAGUAACACGUGGAUAACCUACCUAUAAGACUGGGAUAACUUCGGAAAACCGGAGCUAAUACCGGAUAAUAUAUUGAACAGCAUGGUUCAAUAGUGAAAGACGGUUUUGCUGUCACUUAUAGAUGGAUCCGCGCCGCAUUAGCUAGUUGGUAAGGUAACGGCUUACCAAGGCGACGAUGCGUAGCCGACCUGAGAGGGUGAUCGGCCACACUGGAACUGAGACACGGUCCAGACUCCUACGGGAGGCAGCAGUAGGGAAUCUUCCGCAAUGGGCGAAAGCCUGACGGAGCAACGCCGCGUGAGUGAUGAAGGUCUUCGGAUCGUAAAACUCUGUUAUUAGGGAAGAACAAAUGUGUAAGUAACUAUGCACGUCUUGACGGUACCUAAUCAGAAAGCCACGGCUAACUACGUG
rnacentral:rRNA from 1 species